ensembl:snoRNA
GUGGCCCCGAUCAAAAGCAGCAGCUUGCAGUAGCUGUUUGUUUCAAUGGGAGCCGACAUCAACUCCUUCCUGUGGUCUGUUGAUUUGUCCCAGAGUUCUAUCAGGGCUAAUCGGUUCAGUUGGAAGGAACAGCA